rnacentral:rRNA from 1 species
UACGGGGGGGGCAAGCGUUGUUCGGAAUUACUGGGCGUAAAGGGCGCGUAGGCGGCUUUUCAAGUCGGGCGUGAAAUCUCCGGGCUUAACCCGGAAGGGUCGUUCGAUACUGUUGAGCUAGAGUGUGGAAGAGGCAACUAGAAUUCCGUGUGUAGCGGUGAAAUGCGUAGAUAUACGGAGGAAUACCUGAGGCGAAGGCGGGUUGCUGGGCCAACACUGACGCUGAGGCGCGAAAGCCAGGGGAGCAAACAGG